GCACAAGCGGUGGAGCAUGUGGUUUAAUUCGACGCAACGCGAAGAACCUUACCUGGGCUUGACAUCUGGGGAAUCUCAUGGAACAUGGGAGUGCGGAGCAAUCUGAACCCCAGACAGGUGCUGCAUGGCUGUCGUCAGCUCGUGUCGUGAGAUGUUGGGUUAAGUCCCGCAACGAGCGCAACCCUUGUCUCUAGUUGCCACCAUUCAGUUGGGCACUCUAGAGAGACUGCCGGUGAUAACCGGAGGAAGUGGGGACGACGUCAAGUCCUCAUGGCCUUUAUGCCCAGGGCUACACACGUGCUACAAUGGAUCGUACAAAGGGUCGCGAACCCGCGAGGGGGAGCCAAUCCCAAAACCGGUCCUCAGUUCGGAUUGGAGUCUGCAACUCGACUCCAUGAAGUUGGAAUCGCUAGUAAUCGUGGAUCAGCAUGUCACGGUGAAUACGUUCCCGGGUCUU
rnacentral:rRNA from 1 species